CAGAAAGAGAGAUAGUGAUAGGCAAGCAACCUGAAGAUGGUUGAGUCUCCCCUUGCAUGGAACAAGGUUGGGAACCAGCCUAGAGAGAAGAUGGGAAGCAGGUUCUUGAAAGCACCACUUCACUCACUCACAGGCAUCUUGGUAAAAGCGUCAGAGUAUAUCUAUUCACAUGAUCGGCACAUUCCUGAAGGGCUGGAGAUGCUAGGGCAAGGGUACCUAGCCUUUGGAGUUUCACUGCCCCCUGGAGCCCUUGUUAGUCUUGUCCAUUCUGAUCACAGUGAGGCCUUUGGUUCCUGGUUAGGAAUAGAUGCCUCUCAAUGCCCUUUGGCACUUGAGAGGUGCCAAGGUUUGUAGCUGGAGAAAUAAGGAAGGAGUGGAAAAAUCCAUGCUCCACAGGGAAGAGUCAGAGCCCCAUGCCGCCUGGGCCAAAGUUCUCUGCCUAGAAAGGCAGGGCCACAUUCACAGCAGGGCCUCACAGUGUCACUUCCACCUUAACUGCACCGAGAACAGAGGACAAAAGGGUGCAGCAAGUCUAGCAAAAUAAGGUCUGUAAUACUAGGCCACCAUGAUAUGCUAAUAAAGUAGUAAUAAACACAAUCAA
rnacentral:lncRNA from 1 species